AGUAAAAGGUGAAAGCACGUUCAAAAAUGUCAACACCUCACCUGAUUGGUCAGAAGAAAAAGUCCUGUCCACCAGAGCUCAUGUCUUUCCUUCGGUGCUUGCUUGCAGAUUUUUGUUUUUAACUGCUGAACUUUUGACACAGGUUAGUCGCAAAAUGUGUGCCAAAACUAUUGAGUGCACAGAUUCGACAUCGGCAAAUGUAGUUUUGAUUCACAGAAGAAGAUUCACCAGUCGCAAGUUUACUCAAUGAGUUGUAUUCAUUCUGAAAUGUAGUUGCGUGCUUGCAAAUCUUAUUUAAUUUAUUCACAUAUCAACUUACAUGUUUGCAAGUGUUGUAUUUAUUCACACAUCACGCUAAACUCAGUCUACAGGUGCAACUCAUACUUUACAUGAUUGUAUAAUGAAGUCAAUAUUUUACCUCCAUAGAACUUUCCAUCAUUACUCUGUUGGGGAGAAACUGUUGAUGCUACGUGUAGGCUGGUACACACGCGCAGCCUUCAUCAUACAAGGACAAGACACGCACUAAGAGCAGAGCAAGUGCAUCAAAAUAGAUGUUUAGCAUCAUCUGGUGGUCAAAAGUUGCAAUGCACGUCUUCAAUUAAUAGUUUUUCUAAUUACACGGUUCUAUAGCCGACCAGUUGAUAUAUAGCUCAGUGUUCUAUAUGAUUGAUUAUGUUUAAGCUACUACAGUGUUUGACUGAGAAUGUAACAAUAACCUAUCUCGAAGCAGAAUUAUAUAUUGUUGUUGAGUGGUGAAUUAAUUGGUUGAUUUUUGGGGGUGAUCUAGUCAUAUACUCUCCUAUUCAUGUAUAACAUUCUGGGUGAUUUUUUUUGUUGCUAACUUAUUCACUGGACACGUCUGUUUAUUAUAGGCUGUUUAUUAUAGACUGCAUUAUAUGGUUUAUCGUUAAAUACUGUAUUAUAAGCAAGUGCCUUCGGCUUGUGCAAGAGGUGUCACUACAGUCCCUGGUUCGAAUCCAGGCUGGAUCACAUCCGGCCGUGAUUGGGAGUCCCAUAGGGCAGCGCACAAUUGGCCCAGCGUUGUCCGGGUUUGGCUGGGGUACGCCGUCAUUGUAAAUAAGAAUUUGUUCUUAAUAACUGACUUGCCUAGUUAAAUAAAGCUUAAAUAAAAUGUUUUAAAAAUUUUAAACUCUUGCAUCCAGCUCGCACACAGGUGCAUAUCCCUGCCUCUUUCCACUCGCUCCCCCUCUUUCCAAAUCCCCAGUCCACACACAUGUUGCUUAGUAACAAGUCCAAACAACUAAUGUCAAAAAUUGCUGUUUGCAAAGCUGGAGUAAUCCCACAGGGCUAGAGGGCCCCUAGAAAGGUUUGUGCUGGCAGAUUGUGCUGCAGUGCUGGAAAAAUGAACUUUUCAGUGCAUGAAAUGGGUGCUCUCCAUACAAACUCAUAGCACCACAGUUGUGAGCCAUAGUAGUGGUGCAAUGGGUUCACCCACACCCACCCGCAAUUGCUAAUAGUCCAUUUGCAACCGCCCAACUAUAUGUGAUAAAGUGAAAAUCUGAGGCCGGCACCUGACCCUAACCCGCAAAUAUAGCAAUGCGCUGUAGGCUAAAGUCAGAGUUGGCUGAACAGUUUUUUGGCAGGGGGGUUAUUGUCUGGUAGGACUACAAGAACUAUAUUCAAUAGUCAGGUUCAAUGCUAUCUGAGAGUCCAAUUUGUUUGCAAUGUACUGCAAUUUAAACUGAUGUAUAAGAUUUGAAGAGCUUAUAAACUCCAUAAAGAGUGUCUGAGAACUAUAGGAUGUGUAUUGGUUGACCAUGUGUGUGCAUGCCAUUUACAAAGGUAUUAUAUGAUUUGUCAUAACCUCUCAGGUUAAAUUUCUAAAUAAUAUUGGACUAUUCUGUGACAGUAUUUGAAUAUGUCAGUGAUUGUUCUUUGAUUGUUUGUGUGAUGGGUCAGUGGGUGGAUGUUGAUGUCACUAUUCUUAAAAAAUAUAUAUAUAAAUGGUUUAUUGAAUCAGUUGAGACAAAAGUAAGUCGCUCUGGAUAAGAGCGUCUGCUAAAUGACUUAAAUGUAAAUGUAAAUGUAAAAGAACAUACCUAAAUGAACAGAUGGAUUGACCUAUCAUUAGCACAUUCCCAAUCCAACCCACCCAAUCUAGAGUUAGCUAGGCUUGUAGCCUUAAGUGUUUAAGUAGCGCCAAUAGACCUACUGCUAUUUCUAAUUUCUUGACACCUGUUCUCACACUCAUCAGAUACUUUAAUACCUCUCCAGAAGUUCCUGUUACACCGGUUGAAUGGUUGUUGCCAGCCUCCCCCAGCAACUCACCGACAGGAGAGACCUGGGAGGUCAGCCAAACGCUACUGUAGAACACAUUUAAGAGCUAUUAGAACAAAGAGGGUGUGCAUCCCAGGGCAGAUUAGAAGGCAUCACUCUUUCACUGAUAGAAGUCUUCCCUGUACAUUGACGCAGGUUUCUCUUCCUCCUCUUAAGCACGGUUUUGUUUAUAGCUGAUAUGUCAAAUCAAAAUCAAUGUUCAAAAUUCUUUAUAAUGUGUUUGGGAGUCAUACUUCCUCUACAACUUCCUCUUGUUAGAAAAAGCCUUCAACAGUUAAUCCAAUUUUGAAUUAUCCUUAUUGGGGUUACUCUAACAAGUUCCUUGUUAUGGGCCACUUUAUGGCUGUCACACCUAGGUCUGCAAAUGAGAAGAAAGGACAUUAUGGUGUAGGCCUUUUGUCUCCCACAGAUUGAAGACACUCUAAACUAAAAAACGGAAUAUAAUGCAUGCAAUAAAGCUUAUUCACUCUGUUAUCGUAGAACCAGGGUUACGCAAUUAACCUUACGUUCUUUCUCCUUUGGUUGUGCAGUAGACUACAAGGAGCUGAACCAGUGCUUGCAGAGGUAUUACCAAGGUGACACUAUCACAAGCCUGCUUUUGCUGUACCCAACAUGCUUCAUAUCAUUGAGGUAGCCAAGAUUAGCCAGUAACACCUUUUAAUGAAACCCAUAGCAAUAAUUAUAUGCAAAUCUGUCAAUUACUUGAAUACAAGUAAAACCUCUAUGGCCCAUCUUGCCAUUGAUUAGGAUAAUGAUAUGGGAUUUUCAAUCAUUACCAUUCUUUUUGUUUCUCUUCUAGUCUUCAAGCGAGAUUCUUGUGUCUCUGCUGCAGGAUCUGAGAAACAUGCAGGAACGGCCACACUGGCAUUGUAUCUUACUUCAUGCAAAUUUGAAUCAAUAUAUCAUAGUUAUAUUUGUUCUGGCACUAAAUUCAGAGGGUCAAGCAUGUACAUUCUGUUGACAGACCAACCAAAGUCAUUAUAGCUUGACUAAAACUUGGCCAUAAACAUUGUUUGACAUGCUGUCUUGAUGUUGUCAUGGUCCCUGUCAUCGUCAUGCAGCGUCCUGAUCGAGGCGCCCAGGGUCCUGGUGAUGUUACAUUACAUUCCCAACAGGAUGUUUCAGCAGUAGAGCUGCAAGGUGCUGAACGUGCAGCCCAGGGUGGGAGGGGCUUCAAGUAGGGACAGGCUGAUGACGAGGAGGAGGACACAGAAACACUGGUCAGCACUGGGAAACCACCUCCUCAAAGCAACCAAUGUUCAAAGAUGCCCCCGGGCUUUGUAUUGAAUGAGAUACCAGAGAUGAUAGUUCCUCCGGACGUCCUGGUCCAGCACCUGUCCAGAGGAGAACUUCUAUGCCCCAAGCAGUACACUCUUACAAAAAAGGGUUCCAAAAGGGUUCUCUGGCUGUCCCCAUAGGAUAACCCUUUUUGGUUCCAGGUAGAACUGUUUUGGGUUCCAUGUAGAACCAUUUGUGGAAAGGCUUCUAAAUGGAACCCAAAAGGGUUCUACCUGGAACCAAAAAAUAUUCAAAGGGUUCUCCUAUGGGGCAGCAGAAGAACCCUUUUAGGGUUCUAGAUAGCACCUUUUUUUCUAAGAGUGUACCUGCGGGCCUAACACACCCUUCGCCACAUCCUCAUGGACUCUGAGCGUACUUGGCCUCCACCUGAGCACCUUCGAUGUGAAUUCUGACUUCUGAUGUGAUACAAAUGGACAUUUUCAUGUGCUUCCUACUCAAUAUGUUUUCAGGGUUCAUGCCUGGUUAUUUGUAUGUGUUAUUGAGAACUGCCAUUAAUCUGGACUGUGUGGAACAUUAAACUCAAACUAAUUUUCGUUGCUCCUAAAACUAUAGCUUUAAAAUACACAGGGACUGCGGGAUUGGUUUUGUUGUAUAUUGCAAAUAUUUAAUAAAUAUUUAACUCAA